UACGUAGGGUGCGAGCGCUAAUCGGAAUUACUGGGCGUAAAGGGUGCGCAGGCGGUUAUAUAAGACAGAUGUGAAAUCCCCGGGCUCAACCUGGGAACUGCGUUUGUGACUGUAUGACUAGAGUACUGGAGAGGGAAACGGAAUUCACGGUGUAGCAGUGAAAUGCGUAGAUAUCGUGAGGAACACCAGAGGCGAAGGCGGUUUCCUGGACAGUUACUGACGCUCAGGCACGAAAGCAUGGGGAGCAAAAGGG
rnacentral:rRNA from 1 species